CUCCAUCUCUUCUUCCAUCAUUCUCAUUCCAUAUUUCAUCUAGCCUAGCCCUCCAAACAUCCAAAAAGCUUCCACCAUCCAUCACACACCAGCCCUCCUCUUCCAUCUCCAACCUUCCAAACAAUCCAUCUGCUCAAUCCCGGGAUGUCAGCGUGCAAGAGUUCCAUAGAAGACUAGACUCCUUCAACUCAGAAAAAUGAUGAAGCCUGCAACACAGAUUUAUUUUCUUUAUCUUGUAUUUAUUUUUUAUGCAAUAAAAUAAAGA
rnacentral:lncRNA from 1 species